ACAACUAUCAUCCUGAAGGGUGGAAUGAACAGGUAACGCUGUGAAACGCUCUCCCUGAUACUCCGACUGGCGUAUGUGCGAAAGCAUGUGGGUCAGUAGCUCGGUGAAGUCGGCUGUAUGCACUCGCUAUAUCGCAGUCAACAUUGAAACAACGAUAUGGCAAAAGCAAGCCAGAGGUGGCUGCGAGUGUCAGGCCGGGGGUCUAUAAA
rnacentral:ncRNA from 1 species